UGUGUAGGCGGUUCUUUAAGUUUGCUGUGAAAUCUCCCGGCUUAACCGGGAGGGUGCGGUGAAUACUGAGGGACUAGAGUACGGGAGAGGAAAGUGGAAUUCCUGGUGUAGCGGUGAAAUGCGUAGAUAUCAGGAGGAACACCGGUGGUGUAGACGGCUUUCUGGCCGUAACUGACGCUGAAACACGAAAGCGUGGGUAGCAAACA
rnacentral:rRNA from 1 species